GAUAAAAUUACAAAAAAAUUUUGUAGCUUAUUGGAAAGUCAAGAUAUGGUAUGCAACCAGCAGAAUCCAGACCAUAAAAAUUCGAUACUAGUAUUAGAUGGUUUAUCAACCAUUAGUUUAGCUUGGAGAUGGGAAAAAAUUUCAAAGAAUUGAACAAAAUAAAAUUAGGCAGAGCAUCUGGAUCUUCUGGCUCCAAACUUUCAUACAAAUGGUAUGAAUAUAUCAAAUUCAUGGAGCCAAAGAUAAAAGAAAGAAAAACUACUGAACACUUUUGGUCAUAAAGAAAUUACACCAAAGGCUACUGGUUCAAAAAUAAAUGCUCUCUUGGAUGAAAGACUUUUGACUUUUUGAAAAGGGUGCCAUCUGAGAGCCAAUUGUAUCUACAAUCAAUGACAGAAGAGAUAUAUUUAAUGAAAUUAUAACUUAGUGUAUUUAUUUUUGUAAAUAUAUUUGUUAUAAAGUAAUAUUGUGGCCAUUUUUGAAUAAAUAAGCAAACUAUUCAAAAUUUA